CUAAUUUUUCACAUAAGCAUUUGACUUUCAGCCAGAGGAAGACAAGUUUUCUCCGAGAGACAACUCCCAGAAUUGCUAGAAGAUGGCGGAUUUCAAAAUGACCGUGACAAUUCUUCUCUUGCUGUGCUUAGUUUCCAGUGGCAUGGGAAUGUCUCUCGUAAGGCGGGAUCUGAAGGGGAAUUCUGCUGCAGAAAGAUUUCUCCGAGCACUAGAUAAACGAACGGAGCUUGUUGAACGUUCUGAUUGUCAAGACACAAACCCCGAUAUAUACUUCUGCAUGUUUGCGGCCUUUGAAGAGCAAUCUUGUGAAACGUAUGGAUCGGAAUGUGCCUUUUCAUGUGGAAUCUGUUAGAGCUCAGCCCGAAGAAUUGCCAUGAAGCAAUGUAUUGCUGACAUUCCAAAAUUUAUAUUAGCUAUGCCUAUGUUUUGAUUUACAACUGAAGUUCUCCUGCAUGUGCUCUUGCGAAGCUCACUUGACCUUAUUGAAUAUGGCAAAAUAAAACAAUGAAAUAUCAUAAAUCAAAAGAAA